rnacentral:rRNA from 1 species
GGAAGGAUCAUUAAUGAUUGCGAAUGGUUACCUUUGGUGCUGGCUCUUGCGAGCAAGUGCACGUUGGUGGCUUUCAUCCACUACUACCCUGUGAACCUUUGGCCUCUUGCUAGCUUCGGCUGGCAGAGGAUUUUUACACCACACUCGAAUGUAAUGAAAACAUUUGUCGUGCGCAAGCACUAAUGUACAACUUUCAACAACGGAUCUCUUGGCUCUCGCAUCGAUGAAGAACGCAGCGAAAUGCGAUAAGUAAUGUGAAUUGCAGAAUUCAGUGAAUCAUCGAAUCUUUGAACGCACCUUGCACCCUUUGGAAUUCCGAAGGGUAUGCUCGUUUGAGUGUCAUUGUACUCUCACACUCUCUGAUCCUCUGGAUUCGGGGAGCGGUGGACUUGGGUGUUUGCUGCUUUCCUGUGGCGGCUCACCUCAAAUGCGUCAGUGCACCUCUUGGUUGGACAUAGUACGGCGUGAUAAGUUCUUCGCCGGCGCCUCGCAAGAGGGUGGCCGAUCGAGAGCUCUGUGCUCUCAAACCGUCUCCGGACACUCUGACAACUUGACCUCAAAUCGAGUAGGACUACCCGCUGAACUUAAGCAUAUCAAUAAGCGGAGGAAAAGAAACUAACAAGGAUUCCCCUAGUAACGGCGAGUGAAGAGGGAAGAGCUCAAAUUUUUGAAUCUGGCGUCCUUGGCGUCCGAAUUGUAAUCUAGAGAAGUGUUUUCCGUGACGGACCGUGCACAAGUCUCCUGGAAUGGAGCGUCAUAGAGGGUGAGAAUCCCGUAUAUGGCACGGACUGCC